rnacentral:rRNA from 1 species
CCUACGGGUGGCUGCAGUGGGGAAUAUUGGGCAAUGGGCGCAAGCCUGACCCAGCAACGCCGCGUGAAGGAAGAAGGCUUUCGGGUUGUAAACUUCUUUUCUGACGGGCGUAGCAAGUGACGGUACCUCAGGAAUACGCCACGGCUAACUACGUGCCAGCAGCCGGGGUCAAACGUGGGUGGCAAGCGUUCUCCGGAUUUAAUGGGUGUAAAGGGCGUGUAGGCGGGAAAGCAAGUCAGAUGUGAAAACCCAGGGCUUAACCCGGAGCCCGCAUUUGAAACUGGUUGUCUUGAGUGCUGAAGAGGCAAGCGGAAUUCGGGGUGUAGCGGUGAAAUGCGUAGAUAUACCGAGGAACACCAGUGGCGAAGGCAGAUUGCUGGAGAGCAACUGACGCUGAGGCGCGAAGGUGCGGGGAGCAAACAGGAUUAGAUACCCUAGUAGUC